rnacentral:rRNA from 1 species
GUCCGCAACGAGCGCAACCCUUGUCAUUAGUUGCUACAUUCAGUUGGGCACUCUAAUGAGACUGCCGGUGACAAGCCGGAGGAAGGUGGGGAUGACGUCAAGUCCUCAUGGCCCUUAUAGGUGGGGCUACACACGUCAUACAAUGGCUGGUACAAAGGGUUGCCAACCCGCGAGGGGGGAGCUAACCCCAUAAAGCCAGUCGUAGUCCGGAUCGUAGUCUGCAACUCGACUACGUGAAGUCGGAAUCGCUAGUAAUCGUGGAUCAGAAUGUCACGGUGAAUACGUUCCCGGGCCUU